rnacentral:snoRNA from 1 species
UGGAUCGAUGAUGACCACUGGUGGCGUAUGAGUCGGACACGAUGAAUACGUGGGAGUCUGAGGUCCAA